GACGUAGGGCGCGAGCGUUGUCCGGAUUUAUUGGGCGUAAAGAGCUCGUAGGCGGUUUGUCGCGUCGGCCGUGAAAUCUCCACGCUUAACGUGGAGCGUGCGGUCGAUACGGGCAGACUUGAGUUCGGUAGGGGAGACUGGAAUUCCUGGUGUAGCGGUGAAAUGCGCAGAUAUCAGGAGGAACACCGGUGGCGAAGGCGGGUCUCUGGGCCGAUACUGACGCUGAGGAGCGAAAGCGUGGGGAGCAAACAGG
rnacentral:rRNA from 1 species